GAUGAACGCUGGCGGCGUGCCUAAUACAUGCAAGUCGAGCGAACAGACGAGGAGCUUGCUCCUCUGACGUUAGCGGCGGACGGGUGAGUAACACGUGGAUAGCCUACCUAUAAGACUGGGAUAACUUCGGGAAACCGGAGCUAAUACCGGAUAAUAUAUUGAACCGCAUGGUUCAAUAGUGAAAGACGGUUUUGCUGUCACUUAUAGAUGGAUCCGCGCCGCAUUAGCUAGUUGGUAAGGUAACGGCUUACCAAGGCAACGAUGCGUAGCCGACCUGAGAGGGUGAUCGGCCACACUGGAACUGAGACACGGUCCAGACUCCUACGGGAGGCAGCAGUAGGGAAUCUUCCGCAAUGGGCGAAAGCUUGACGGAGCAACGCCGCGUGAGUGAUGAAGGUCUUCGGAUCGUAAAACUCUGUUAUUAGGGAAGAACAAAUGUGUAAGUAACCAUGCACGUCUUGACGGUACCUAAUCAGAAAGCCACGGCUAACUACGUG
rnacentral:rRNA from 1 species